ensembl:lncRNA
AUGUCGUUUGUCCCAAGGUGUCUGCUUCCUCACCCAGAGCCAGACCUCCACCUCCUCACUCAGAGCCAGACCUCCACCUCCUGUCAGAAGUCCUCCAGAACAGCUGAACAGCGAGAGAGGCUGGGGAACGGGGGCUUGUGGUGCCAGGAUGGACCGGAGACUGAGGCUGGAGACCAGGGACCGGACCAGAGGACCAGGAAUCCAUGGCUGAUGGAGGAGGCCGUGCUGAAGGCCCUGCCUGGUGGAGGAGCUGAUGGAGGCCCUGCCUGGUGCAGGAUGUCUGUCCUGGGACCAGGACUCUGUCUGAGGAGAGCUGAUGGAGGAGCUGAGACGCUGGAGGACGACUAG